rnacentral:rRNA from 1 species
AUCAUGGCUCAGGAUGAACGCUAGCUACAAGGCUAACACAUGCAAGGUCGAGGGGAAACGAAUAUAAGAAAGCUUGCUUCUUUAGGCGUCGACCGGCGAAUGGGUGAGUAACGCGUAUCCAACCUGCCCUGAGUAAGGGAUAGCCCAUCGAAAGAUGGAUUAAUACCUUAUGGUCUCCUUUGCAGACAUCUAAUUAGGAGUAAAGAUUUAUCGCUGAGGGAUGGGGAUGCGUCUGAUUAGCUUGUUGGCGGGGUAACGGCCCACCAAGGCAACGAUCAGUAGGGGUUCUGAGAGGAAGGUCCCCCACAUUGGUACUGAGACACGGACCAAACCCCUACGGGAGGCAGCAGUGAGGAAUAUUGGUCAAUGGACGAAAGUCUGAACCAGCCAAGUAGCGUGCAGGAUGACUGCCCUAUGGGUUGUAAACUGCUUUUAUACGGGGAUAAAGUCAGGGUCGUGACCCUGUUUGCAGGUACCGUAUGAAUAAGGACCGGCUAAUUCCGUGCCAGCCGCAGC